rnacentral:rRNA from 1 species
CCCUUACUACUUGGAUACCCGUGGUAAUUCUAGAGCUAAUACAUGCGAAAAGACCCGACUUACGAAGGGUUGUAUUUAUUAGAUAAAAAACCAAUCCGGGCAACCGGUGCUAGGUGAAUCAUAAUAACUUCGCGAAUCGCAUGGCCUUGUGCCGGCGAUGAAUCAUUCAAAUUUCUGCCCUAUCAACUUUCGAUGGUGAGGUAUUGGCUCACCAUGGUUGCAACGGGUAACGGAGAAUUAGGGUUCGAUUCCGGAGAGGGAGCCUGAGAGACGGCUACCACAUCCAA